GAACUUUAUUUGGAUAAUCAUCUUAAAAAGACUCUGUCAUACAUGUUAAUAGUAAGUAAUGGUUAAAUUUUUUGUGUUGUCUUUCGAUAGAGUAUCUGUUAGAUCCAAAUUCCAAAUAUGUCCAAGAAAUUGUUUAGAGAGAUAUAUAGGUCUCUGAUCUAUGUAAAUUUGUGUUACCAUUAGUUCGGCAUAUGAUUACUAGAGUUUGUCCGUUUUAUGAAAUCGUACUAGUAUUAGAAAUUUGGAGAUUAAAAAGUUCAAAGUCUCACAUUGGACAGUGAUACGACAUAAGUAGUGAUCCUCACUCUUUUUAGCUGGUUUUGCAUGGUUAAGUCAGGUAUAAUCCAAAUUCUAAGAUGGUUCAUUAUUAUGUAUGAGAGGAGUGUAGUAUAAUGUCAGGUAUAAUCCAAAUCUGGAUAAUGUAGUAUAAUGCCAUACACAUGUGUUGACAUGUUUGCAUGUUUAGGAC
rnacentral:lncRNA from 1 species